AACGGCCGCGGUAUUUUAACCGUGCAAAGGUAGCGCAAUCACUUGUCUUUUAAAUGAAGACCUGUAUGAAUGGCAAAACGAGGGCUUAACUGUCUCCUUUCUCCAGUCAAUGAAAUUGAUCCCCCCGUGCAGAAGCGGGGAUAAGUACAUAAGACGAGAAGACCCUUUGGAGCUUUAGAUAUAAACAGACAACACACAAUAACCGUUGAUACUGCUUUUAGUCUUCGGUUGGGGCGACCAAGGGGAAAUAAAAAACCCCCUCGAGGAAGAGAAACCUUUCUUAUAAUCUAGACAAACAAGUCUAAAAAUCAGCACUUCUGACCAAAAUGAUCCGGUAUUACCGAUCAACGAACCAAGUUACCCCAGGGAUAACAGCGCAAUCCUUUUUUAGAGUCCCUAUCGACAAAAGGGUUUACGACCUCGAUGUUGGAUCAGGACAUCCUAAUGGUGUAGCCGCUAUUAAGGGUUCGUUUGUUCAACGAUUAAAGUCCU
rnacentral:rRNA from 1 species